GACGAACGCUGGCGGCGUGCCUAAUACAUGCAAGUAGAACGCUGAAGGAGGAGCUUGCUCUUCUGGAUGAGUUGCGAACAGGUGAGUAACGCGUAGGUAACCUGCCUGGUAGCGGGGGAUAACUAUUGGAAACGAUAGCUAAUACCGCAUAACAGUAGAUGUUGCAUGACAUUUACUUAAAAGGUGCAAUUGCAUCACUACCAGAUGGACCUGCGUUGUAUUAGCUAGUUGGUGGGGUAACGGCUCACCAAGGCGACGAUACAUAGCCGACCUGAGAGGGUGAUCGGCCACACUGGGACUGAGACACGGCCCAGACUCCUACGGGAGGCAGCAGUAGGGAAUCUUCGGCAAUGGACGGAAGUCUGACCGAGCAACGCCGCGUGAGUGAAGAAGGGUUUCGGAUCGUAAAGCUCUGUUGUAAGAGAAGAACGAGUGUGAGAGUGGAAAGUUCACACUGUGACGGUAUCUUACCAGAAAGGGACGGCUAACUACGUG
rnacentral:rRNA from 1 species